AGAGUUUGAUCCUGGCUCAGGACGAACGCUGGCGGCGUGCUUAAAACAUGCAAGUCGAACGGGGUCCAACCUUCGGGUGAAGACCUAGUGGCGAACGGGUGAGUAACACGUGAGCAACCUACCCCAGAGACCGGGAUAAGCGAGGGAAACUUCGUCUAAUACCGGAUAAUCUCCUCCCGCUACUAACGGGUUGAGCAAAUGGUUUUUCGCUUUGGGAUGGGCUCGCGCACUAUCAGCUUGUUGGUGGGGUAAUGGCCUACCAAGGCUUUGACGGUUAGCUGGUCUGAGAGGAUGGUCAGCCACACUGGGACUGAGACACGGCCCAGACUCCUACGGGAGGCAGCAGUUAGGAAUCUUGCGCAAUGGGCGAAAGCCUGACGCAGCAACGCCGCGUGUGGGAUGAAGGCUUUCGGGUUGUAAACCACUUUCAGCAGGAACGAAAUUGACGGUACCUGCAGAAGAAGCACCGGCCAACUACGUGCCAGCAGCCGCGGUAAUACGUAGGGUGCAAGCGUUGUCCGGAUUUAUUGGGCGUAAAGAGCUCGUAGGCGGUUAAGUAAGUCAGGUGUGAAACCUCCAGGCUCAACCUGGAGACGCCACUUGAUACUGCUUUGACUUGAGUUCGGUAGGGGUAAGCGGAAUUCCUGGUGUAGCGGUGAAAUGCGCAGAUAUCAGGAGGAACACCGACGGCGAAGGCAGCUUACUGGGCCGAUACUGACGCUGAGGAGCGAAAGCGUGGGGAGCGAACAGGAUUAGAUACCCUCGUAGUCC
rnacentral:rRNA from 1 species